CCUACGGGCGGCAGCAGUAGGGAAUUUUCGGCAAUGGGGGGAACCCUGACCGAGUAACGCCGCGUGCACGAAGACGUCACUCCUAGUGUUAAGCUCCUUUAACAGGGAAGUAAGAGAAAUUUGAUGGUACCUGUAGAGUAUGCCCCGGCUAACCACGUGCCAGCAGCCGCGGUAACACGUAGGGAGCGAGCGUUAUCCGGAAUGAUGGGGUGAAAGGGGUGCGUAGAUGGCAUAGUAGUUCGUGUGUAAAAAUGCGGGGCUAAACCCAGUAGGGCAAAAGAUACUGGAAAGCUAGAGUAUGAAGAGGGCAAGUGGAAUUACAUGUGUAGCGGUGAAAUGCGUAGAUAUAUGUAAGAACACCAGUGGCGAAGGCAGCUUGCUGGGGCGAAACUGACGUUGAGGCACGAAAGCGUGGGUAUCAAACAGGAUUAGAUACCCGGGUAGUC
rnacentral:rRNA from 1 species